AAAGUCGUAACAAGGUUUCCGUAGGUGAACCUGCGGAAGGAUCAUUAACGAGCGCUGCCUUCGGGCAACCCUCCCACCCUAUGUUAACAUACCUGUUUCCUUUCAAACUCUGUUUAAAAUGUCGUCUGAGUAUAAAUCAAAAUUGUCAAAACUUUCAACAACGGAUCUCUUGGUUCUG
rnacentral:misc_RNA from 1 species